GAUGAACGCUGGCGGCGUGCCUAAUACAUGCAAGUCGAGCGAACGGACGAGAAGCUUGCUUCUCUGAUGUUAGCGGCGGACGGGUGAGUAACACGUGGAUAACCUACCUAUAAGACUGGGAUAACUUCGGGAAACCGGAGCUAAUACCGGAUGAUAUUUUGAACCGCAUGGUUCAAAAGUGAAAGACGGUCUUGCUGUCACUUAUAGAUGGAUCCGCGCUGCAUUAGCUAGUUGGUAAGGUAACGGCUUACCAAGGCAACGAUGCAUAGCCGACCUGAGAGGGUGAUCGGCCACACUGGAACUGAGACACGGUCCAGACUCCUACGGGAGGCAGCAGUAGGGAAUCUUCCGCAAUGGGCGAAAGCCUGACGGAGCAACGCCGCGUGGGUGAUGAAGGUCUUCGGAUCGUAAAACUCUGUUAUUAGGGAAGAACAUAUGUGUAAGUAACUGUGCACAUCUCGACGGUACCUAAUCAGAAAGCCACGGCUAACUACGUG
rnacentral:rRNA from 1 species